rnacentral:lncRNA from 1 species
UGAAGGACUCAAAACCUUUGUACAAAUGGAUAUGUCUAGAAAUUAUAUAUACAUAAAUCCAAUUCGUUAUUGUGAAUCGAUUUGAUAGGUUCAUAAAACAUCACAAAAGUGUUCAACAAACAUUAUGCCAUUCUUUUACUUCCAAAUCAUUCAAUGACAAUAAAAAGUUUGCUUGGUUGCAUCACAGGCACCAAUUAUCUCAAGAAAUAUGUCAUGCAUGUUAACAUU